rnacentral:antisense_RNA from 1 species
GGAAUAUGAAGGGAGAAUGAAACAAAACUGCUCCGCUCAGGGAACUUAGAAAUUGAAAAGGCAAGGCACAGGCUGGAAGAAAAUAUUUGAAAAAGAUUUAUGUGACAAAGAACUUCUUUCUGGAUUAUACAAAAUAUUUUUAGAUAUUCUUACAACUCUAAAAUAAGAUAACUCCUUAAAAAUGUGAAUUCUACCAAAGGAGAGAUAAAGAUGACAAAUACAGUCAAAGAUGCUGAAAAUCGCUUAUUUAUUAUUGGGAAGUUACAAGCUACAGCAUAAUGAGAUACCACUACAACCUACUAAACUGACUAAAAUUAAUCAGACUAACCAGGUGUUGGCAAGAAACAGGGACACUGAGACUCUCACACUGCUGGAAGGAAUGUAAAAUGCUAAAAUUUCUUUGGAAACGAGUUCAGUAACUUUUUAAACAGUUGAAAAUAGACCUAUCAUGCAAACCAGCAACCCCACUUCUAGGUAUUUAUCCAAGGAAAAUGACAACAUAUGCCCACACAAAGACUUGUGCACAAAUGACUGUAGCAGCUUUGUGGUAAUUGCUAAAAACUAGAAACUUGUCAAGUGUCCAACAGGAUCGAAUACCAUAAGAGGAAUUCUGGACUGAAGAAUUAUGAAGUCAUUUCAGACACUUCCAUAUAAUUUGUGUUAAUUAAAUUCUCACCGGUUGAGUUCCAUUCUACACUGGAAGAGCAUUUUUCCUGGAAAGGCUCCUCAAAAUGGUAAUAAAGGGUAAUUCUUUUA